GAUGAAGAACGCAGCAAAAUGCGAUAAGUAAUGUGAAUUGCAGAAUUCAGUGAAUCAUCGAAUCUUUGAACGCACAUUGCGCCCGCUGGUAUUCCGGCGGGCAUGCCUGUUCGAGCGUCAUUUCAACCCUCAAGCCCCCGGGUUUGGUGUUGGGGAUCGGCUCUGCCCUUCUGGGCGGUGCCGCCCCCGAAAUACAUUGGCGGUCUCGCUGCAGCCUCCAUUGCGUAGUAGCUAACACCUCGCAACUGGAACGCGGCGCGGCCAUGCCGUAAAACCCCAACUUCUGAAUGUUGACCUCGGAUCAGGUAGGAAUACCCGCUGAACUUAAGCAUAUCAAAAAGCGGAGGA
rnacentral:misc_RNA from 1 species